GUUCUUGCAGUACUUACAAUGGACAUUUCUGAGCAUAACUAAUCUCUUUUUUUUUUUAUUUUGGUCCUAUUCGCAUCAGCACCAAUCCAGUGCUUUGAAAUGAAUUCAAAUACUGUGCUCUCUGAAGGGAUGAGGAUUAAAGCUUAAGCUGGGUCCAGGGAUGAGAGCAAAGCAGAAGCCAAGCAGCUAUUUAGCUCUCUAGCAUAUUUCCGUGUGAGAUUUGAUUUAUAUGAGCAUCAAGAAGUAGAGAUCUUAAUUCAGGCCAUUAGCCCGAGGGGAGGUCCUGAGUCGUCCAAAGGUUCUCCAGCGGGCAAACAAGAAAGACAGCACUCCUGCCCCGAUCCGUACACACUGGAGCAUCCAGGGCUGAAUUUCUUUCCAAUGGAAGUUGUUAUUUGAAUCUAGAAGUGUUGCUAAAAUGGAUUCAUCAAGCCAUUUUUUAGUGGAAAGGGCUUCAUGGAUGACGACCUGCUGGAAGUUGGCCGACAGCUGAAAGGAAGAACGACCCUGUUCAGUCCUGCUCAUUAUGCCUGCCAGAGAUCAAGAACACCUUGACCAAUCAGGAGAGGGGAUCUUCAUACAAGGAAAGGGGACUUUUGUACAAGGAGAGGGGACCUUUAUUCACCUUCCUGUACUCUUUCUUCCAAGCUAGUUUUUAACUUCAGGAAAGUAUCACUCUUCUGUGGCUGCUUAAUAUUUAAUUGGCUAUGUAAUGUGGCUAUGUAAUAUUUAAAUGUAGCCAAGUGUUUAGGGAUGAAGGUCUCUGACUCUGCCCCUCACCACACUUGGGACCUUAGGAAAGUUAUUUAACUUCUUUAACCAUCAUUUGUAAACUAUGUUUGUUGGAAAGAAUAAUUCUGUUUUUAAUGUAUAAAGUACAUAGUAUGGG
rnacentral:lncRNA from 1 species